rnacentral:rRNA from 1 species
GUGCCAGCCGCCGCGGUAAUACCGGCAGCCCGAGUGAUGGCCGAUAUUAUUGGGCCUAAAGCGUCCGUAGCUGGCCGAACAAGUCUCCCGGGAAAUCCACCCGCCCAACGGGUGGGCAUCCGGUAGAAACUGGCCGGCUUGGAACCGGAAGGCUCAGAGAGUACGUCCGGGGCAGGAGUGAAAUCCCGUAAUCCCGGACGGACUACCGAUGGCGAAAGCACUUUGAGAAGACUGCUUCGACAGUGAGGGACGAAAGCUCGGGUCUCAAACCGGAUUAGAAACCACGGUAGUCC